rnacentral:rRNA from 1 species
UACGUAGGGGGCAAGCGUUGUCCGGAAUCAUUGGGCGUAAAGCGCGUGUAGGCGGCUAGGUAAGUCUGCUCUGAAAGCCCGGGGCUCAACCCCGGGAGGCGGGUGGAUACUGUCUAGCUCGAGUCCGGAAGAGGAGUGUGGAAUUCCUGGUGUAGCGGUGAAAUGCGCAGAUAUCAGGAGGAACACCAAUGGCGAAAAGCAGCACUCUGGGACGUGACUGACGCUGAGACGCGAAAGCGUGGGGAGCAAACAGG